ACUCAAUAGAUACCCGGGUAGUCCACGCCGUAAACGAUGAUCACUAGGUGGGUGCUGAGCUAUCGGUGCCCGCCGCAGGUAAUUUGCUAAGUGAUCCGCCUGGGGAGUAUGGUCGCAAGGCUGAAACUCAAAGGAAUUGACGGGGGCUCACACAAGCGGUGGAGGAUGUGGUUUAAUUCGAAGCAACGCGCAGAACCUUACCAGGUCUUGACAUACCGGGAUUAGUUUGGUGAAAGCCAGAUGAUUACUGUCAAAAGUGUAACCGGAACAGGUGCUGCGUGGCUGUCGUCAGCUCGUGCCGUGAGGUGUUAGGUUAAGUCCUUUAACGAGCGAAACCCCUGCGAUUAGUUACCAGCGCGUCAUGGCGGGGACUCUAGUCGGACUGCCGCGCAAGUAGGAGGAAGGUGGGGACGACGUCAAGUCAUCAUGGCCUUUAUGACCUGGGCCACACACGUCCUACAAUGGAUGCGACAGAGGGUAGCAGAGCCGCAAGGUGAAGCCAAUCCCACAAACGCAUCCUCAGUUCA
rnacentral:rRNA from 1 species